rnacentral:hammerhead_ribozyme from 1 species
GCACUGCUGAGGAGUUCAAUACUAGGACGAAAGGGCCCUCCAGUGC